rnacentral:rRNA from 1 species
UACGAAGGGUGCAAACGUUGCUCGGAAUUAUUGGGCGUAAAGCGCACGUAGGCGGCUUGGCAAGUCGGAUGUGAAAUCCCUCGGCUCAACCAAGGAAGUGCAUCCGAAACUGCUGAGCUUGAGUACUUAAGAGGAUCGCGGAAUUCCCGGUGUAGAGGUGAAAUUCGUAGAUAUCGGGAGGAACACCAAUGGCGAAGGCAGCUCGCUGGGCCGAUACUGACGCUGAGGAGCGAAAGCGUGGGGAGCGAACAGG